rnacentral:rRNA from 1 species
CCGUUAACGAACGAGACCUUAUCCUGCUAAAUAGACGGCGUUGUCCUCGGACAGUGUCUCCGUCUUCUUAGAGGGACUAUCUGUGACUAACAGAUGGAAGCAAGGCAAUAACAGGUCUGUGAUGCCCUUAGAUGUUCUGGGCCGCACGCGCGCUACACUGACAAAGUCAGCGAGUCUCCUGGACCGGAAGGUCUGGGUAAUCUUGUGAAACUUUGUCGUGAUGGGGAUUGACCAUUGCAAUUAUUGGUCAUGAACGAGGAAUUCCUAGUAAGUGCGAGUCAUCAGCUCGCGCUGAUUACGUCCCUGUCCUUUGUACACACCGCCCGUCGAUAGUACCGAUUGAAUGGGUCU